GAUGAACGCUGGCGGCGUGCCUAAUACAUGCAAGUCGAGCGAACGGACGAGAAGCUUGCUUCUCUGAUGUUAGCGGCGGACGGGUGAGUAACGCGUGGAUAACCUACCUAUAAGACUGGGAUAACUUCGGGAAACCGGAGCUAAUACCGGAUAAUAUUUUGAACCGCAUGGUUCAAAAGUGAAAGACGGUCUUGCUGUCACUUAUAGAUGGAUCCGCGCUGCAUUAGCUAGUUGGUAAGGUAACGGCUUACCAAGGCAACGAUGCAUAGCCGACCUGAGAGGGUGGUCGGCCACACUGGAACUGAGACACGGUCCAGACUCCUACGGGAGGCAGCAGUAGGGAAUCUUCCGCAAUGGGCGAAAGCCUGACGGAGCAACGCCGCGUGAGUGAUGAAGGUCUUCGGAUCGUAAAACUCUGUUAUUAGGGAAGAACAUAUGUGUAAGUAACUGUGCACAUCUUGACGGUACCUAAUCAGAAAGCCACGGCUAACUACGUGCCAGCAGCCGCGGUAAUACGUAGGUGGCAAGCGUUAUCCGGAAUUAUUGGGCGUAAAGCGCGCGUAGGCGGUUUUUUAAGUCUGAUGUGAAAGCCCACGGCUCAACCGUGGAGGGUCAUUGGAAACUGGAAAACUUGAGUGCAGAAGAGGAAAGUGGAAUUCCAUGUGUAGCGGUGAAAUGCGCAGAGAUAUGGAGGAACACCAGUGGCGAAGGCGACUUUCUGGUCUGUAACUGACGCUGAUGUGCGAAAGCGUGGGGAUCAAACAGGAUUAGAUACCCUGGUAGUCCACGCCGUAAACGAUGAGUGCUAAGUGUUAGGGGGUUUCCGCCCCUUAGUGCUGCAGCUAACGCAUUAAGCACUCCGCCUGGGGAGUACGACCGCAAGGUUGAAACUCAAAGGAAUUGACGGGGACCCGCACAAGCGGUGGAGCAUGUGGUUUAAUUCGAAGCAACGCGAAGAACCUUACCGAAUCUUGACAUCCUUUGACAACUCUAGAGAUAGAGCUUUCCCCUUCGGGGGACAAAGUGACAGGUGGUGCAUGGUUGUCGUCAGCUCGUGUCGUGAGAUGUUGGGUUAAGUCCCGCAACGAGCGCAACCCUUAAGCUUAGUUGCCAUCAUUAAGUUGGGCACUCUAAGUUGACUGCCGGUGACAAACCGGAGGAAGGUGGGGAUGACGUCAAAUCAUCAUGCCCCUUAUGAUUUGGGCUACACACGUGCUACAAUGGACAAUACAAAGGGCAGCGAAACCGUGAGGUCAAGCAAAUCCCAUAAAGUUGUUCUCAGUUCGGAUUGUAGUCUGCAACUCGACUACAUGAAGCUGGAAUCGCUAGUAAUCGUAGAUCAGCAUGCUACGGUGAAUACGUUCCCGGGUCU
rnacentral:rRNA from 1 species